UUGCAGAUGCAAGAAAAAAGUGUCCUCAUGCUUUCUUUCUGAUGGUGGCAGCUGAGACUGAGUAGAGUAAUACAGGG
ensembl:snoRNA